GGGUUGUGAGGUUAAGCGACUAAGCGUACACGGUGGAUGCCCUGGCAGUCAGAGGCGAUGAAGGGCGUGCUAAUCUGCGAUAAGCGCCGGUAAGGUGAUAUGAACCGUUAUAACCGGCGAUACCCGAAUGGGGAAACCCAGUGUGACUCGUCACACUAUCAUUAACUGAAUCCAUAGGUUAAUGAGGCGAACCGGGGGAACUGAAACAUCUAAGUACCCCGAGGAAAAGAAAUCAACCGAGAUUCCCCCAGUAGCGGCGAGCGAACGGGGAGGAGCCCAGAGCCUGAAUCAGCAUGUGUGUUAGUGGAAGCGUCUGGAAAGGCGCGCGAUACAGGGUGACAGCCCCGUACACAAAAGCGCAUGUGCUGUGAGCUCGAUGAGUAGGGCGGGACACGUGGUAUCCUGUCUGAAUAUGGGGGGACCAUCCUCCAAGGCUAAAUACUCCUGACUGACCGAUAGUGAACCAGUACCGUGAGGGAAAGGCGAAAAGAACCCCGGCGAGGGGAGUGAAAAAGAACCUGAAACCGUGUACGUACAAGCAGUGGGAGCCCCACCACCAAAGCAUUUGC
rnacentral:rRNA from 1 species